GGGCACAAUCUUUGCUGUCAUCUGAGAAGUUAUUUCUGAUUUCAUUUUUUCCAGAUCCUCUUUUGCUGCCAGUUCAGGGAGUCCAGGUGGUUGAGUAUCAGAGUGUUCCAUCUGGUUUCCCUUUGGAGUUGCUUCUUACUGGGUGGAUGUGACUGUCUGAGGAGACAGAAGCUCAGGGAAGCAGUGUCUUGUGCAAGCAUGGACAGGGAUUGAACUUGGGUCCAUGCACUUGUAAGGCAGGCGCCAGAACCACUGAGCUAAAUUCCCGGCCCCAGAGCACUCUUCUUGUUUGAUAGUGGGGAUCUGUUUCCCCCACUGACAAGUCUAAGACAAGGACCUCAUCUGCUCCCACCGUGUCCCUGUGCCCAGCACAGCACAGAAUUGAAGGUCCUGCAUCCUCAGAGACGCCCCACAUCCGUGGAACGUCCAGGUGCUUGGCUUGUCAGAGAGAGCACUUUGACGGGAAUAAGACUACAGGUGUCUUCCCUCUUGCAUGGUGAGGGGCUGAGGAGCAGGACCAGGAGCCAUCCCAAGCUGUCACAGUGAGUAGUGCCACCGGAC
rnacentral:lncRNA from 1 species